GAUGAACGCUGGCGGCGUGCUUAACACAUGCAAGUCGAACGGAAAGGCCUCUGCUUGCCGGGGUACUCGAGUGGCGAACGGGUGAGUAACACGUGGGUGAUCUGCCCUGCACUUCGGGAUAAGCCUGGGAAACUGGGUCUAAUACCGGAUAGGACAAUGGUUUGGAUGCUGUUGUGGAAAGUUUUUCGGUGUGGGAUGAGCUCGCGGCCUAUCAGCUUGUUGGUGGGGUAAUGGCCUACCAAGGCGUCGACGGGUAGCCGGCCUGAGAGGGUGUACGGCCACAUUGGGACGGGGAUACGGCCCGGACUCCAAGGGGGGGCGGCGGGGGGAAUAUUGCACAAUGGGCGCAAGCCUGAUGCAGCGACGCCGCGUGGGGGAUGACGGCCUUCGGGUUGUAAACUCCUUUCGCUAGGGACGAAGCGUUUUUGUGACGGUACCUGGAGAAGAAGCACCGGCUAACUACGUG
rnacentral:rRNA from 1 species